AAAGAUUAAGCCAUGCAUGUCUAUGCACACGCCCUUGAUCGGUGAAGCCGCGAAAAGCUCAUUACAACAGCCAUAGUUUAUUGGAUCUUUACGUUCCUACAAGGAUAUCUGCGGUAGUUCUGGAGCUAAUACUUGCGAAAAACGGCGACCUUACGGAAGUCGUGCAUUUGUUAGACUAAACCAAUCGGUCCUUCGGGACCGUCAUUUGGUGAACUCUGAAUAACUCAGCUGAUCGCACAGUCUCGUACUGGCGACAAAUCCUUCAAGUGUCUGCCUUAUCAACUGUCGAUGGUAGUUUACACGACUACCAUGGUUGUAACGGGUAACGGAGAAUAAGGGUUCGACUCCGGAGAGGGAGCCUGAGAAACGGCUACCACAUCCAAGGAAGGCAGCAGGCGCGCAAAUUACCCACUCUCAGAACGAGGAGGUAGUGACGAAAAAUAACGAGGUGGCCCUCUUUGAGGUCCAUCAUCGGAAUGGGUACAAUUUAAAUCCUUUAACGAGGAUCUAUUGGAGGGCAAGUCUGGUGCCAGCAGCCGCGGUAAUUCCAGCUCCAAUAGCGUAUACUAAAGUUGUUGCGGUUAAAAAGCUCGUAGUUGGAUCUGCGCCAGGUGGAAGCGGUCGCCCGAUGGGUUGUUACUGCUUACCUCUGGCUAACCAUUCGGUUUUCCCUUGAUGCUCUUAAGUGAGUGUCCUGGGUGACCGGAACGUUUACUUUGAAAAAAUUAGAGUGCUCAAAGCAGGCAUUUCGCCCGAAUAUUCGUGCAUGGAAUAAUAAAAGAGGUCCUUGUAGCCUUUUAUUGGUUAUCGCUACGAGGAAAUGAUCGAAGGGGACAGACGGGGGCAUUUGUAUUGCGACGUUAGAGGUGAAAUUCUUGGAUCGUCGCAAGACAAACUACUGCGAAAGCAUUUGCCAAGAAUGUUUUCAUCAAUCAAGAACGAAAGUCUGAGGUUCGACAGCGAUCAGAUACCGCUUUAGUUCAGACCGUAAACGAUGCCAUCUGGCGAUCCGCCGGCGUUAUGUUUGACCCGGCGGGCAGCCACCGGUAAACCUUUAAGUUGGGUUCCGGGGGAAGUAUGGUUGCAAAGCUGAAACUUAAAGGAAUUGACGGAAGGGCACCACCAGGAGUGGAGCCUGCGGCUUAAUUUGACU
rnacentral:rRNA from 1 species